CCCCUCUCAGGGUCACACCUGGAGAGCUUUCAGUACUCUACCAGUCUCGACUACGGGAGGGAGAGUCAAGCAGAGGCCUAGCCAUUACAUUCCUAGCUCGGGCAGAGGCUAGCGAAUGGAAGGCCAUCUGCUACAAGU